UCGGGAAUUUUGCGCAAUGGACGAAAGUCUGACGCAGCAACGCCGCGUGAGGGAUGACGGCCUUCGGGUUGUAAACCUCUUUUCUCAGGGAAAAUGAUGACGGUACCUGAGGAAUAAGCCACGGCUAACUACGUGCCAGCAGCCGCGGUAAUACGUAGGUGGCAAGCGUUGUCCGGAUUUACUGGGCGUAAAGAGCGCGCAGGCGGUCGUUCAAGUCGCGUGUGAAAGCCCCCGGCUCAACUGGGGAGGGUCACGCGAUACUGAUCGACUCGAAGGCAGGAGAGGGUAGUGGAAUUCCCGGUGUAGUGGUGAAAUGCGUAGAUAUCAGGAGGAACACCGGUGGCGAAGGCGCUCAUCUGGCCCAAUACUGACGCUGAGGCGCGAAAGCUAGGGGAGCAAAC
rnacentral:rRNA from 1 species